rnacentral:rRNA from 1 species
AACGAACGCUGGCGGCAUGCCUAACACAUGCAAGUCGAACGAGACCUUCGGGUCUAGUGGCGCACGGGUGCGUAACGCGUGGGAACCUGCCCUUAGGUUCGGAAUAACUCCCCGAAAGGGGAGCUAAUACCGGAUAAUGUCUUCGGACCAAAGAUUUAUCGCCUUUGGAUGGGCCCGCGUUGGAUUAGCUAGUUGGUAGGGUAAAAGCCUACCAAGGCGACGAUCCAUAGCUGGUCUGAGAGGAUGAUCAGCCACACUGGGACUGAGACACGGCCCAGACUCCUACGGGAGGCAGCAGUGGGGAAUAUUGGACAAUGGGCGAAAGCCUGAUCCAGCAAUGCCGCGUGAGUGAUGAAGGCCUUAGGGUUGUAAAGCUCUUUUACCCGGGAUGAUAAUGACAGUACCGGGAGAAUAAGCUCCGGCUAACUACGUG